AGAGUUUGAUCAUGGCUCAGAACGAACGCUGGCGGCGUGCUUAACACAUGCAAGUCGAGUGCGCGCCUGUAGCAAUACAGGUGGCGCACGGCGCACGGGUGCGUAACACGUGGGUAAUCUGCCCUCUGAUGGGGAAUAACUCGCCGAAAGGCGAGCUAAUUCCGCAUAAUAUUCCGAAAAGUUCGCUUUUUGGACUGAAAGGCGUAAGUCGUCGGAGGAGGAGCCCGCGCACGAUUAGCUAGUUGGUAGGGUAAUGGCCUACCAAGGCUUUGAUCGUUAGCUGGUCUGAGAGGAUGGCCAGCCACACUGGAACUGAGACACGGUCCAGACUCCUACGGGAGGCAGCAGUGGGGAAUCUUGCACAAUGGGCGAAAGCCUGAUGCAGCGACGCCGCGUGGGGGAUGAAGCUUCUCGGAGUGUAAACCCCUUUCGAUCCGGACGAAUGCCCGCAAGGGAGUGACGGUACGGAUAUAAGAAGCCCCGGCUAACUACGUGCCAGCAGCCGCGGUAAUACGUAGGGGGCCAGCGUUGUUCGGAAUUACUGGGUGUAAAGGGUUCGUAGGCGGUGUGGCAAGUUGGGAGUGAAAUCUCUGGGCUCAACCCAGAGACGGCUUCCAAAACUGCCGUGCUUGAGUGUGAGAGAGGCUCGUGGAAUUGCAGGUGUAGCGGUGAAAUGCGUAGAUAUCUGCAGGAACACCCGUGGCGAAAGCGGCGAGCUGGAUCACUACUGACGCUGAAGAACGAAAGCUAGGGGAGCAAACAGGAUUAGAUACCCUGGUAGUCCUAGCCCUAAACGAUCAGGACUUGGGGUGCCACCCGUUCGGGUGGCGUCCCGGGAGCUAACGCGUUAAGUCCUGCACCUGGGGAGUACGGUCGCAGACUGAAACUCAAGGAAUUGACGGGGGCCCGCACAAGCGGUGGAACAUGUGGUUCAAUUCGACGCUACGCGAGGAACCUUA
rnacentral:rRNA from 1 species